AUUGAACGUUGGCGGCGUGGAUUAGGCAUGCAAGUCGCGCGAGAAGUCAUUUAGCUUGCUAAAAGGCGGACAGCGGCGGAAGGGAGAGUAACGCGUGGUUAUGUACCCUCGAGACCGGGAUAGUGUCGGGAAACUGGCAGUAAUACCGGAUAACAUCUUCGGAUCAAAUGGUGUGAUUCCGCUCGAGGAUCGGACCGCGUACUAUUAGCUAGUUGGCGGGGUAAUGGCCCACCAAGGCUUAGAUGGUUACCGGGUGUGAGAGCAUGGCCCGGCUGACUGGGACUGAGACGCUGCCCAGACAUCUACGGAUGGCUGCAGUCGGGAAGCUGCGGCGAUGGAGGAAGGUCUGACCGGGGGACGCCGCGUGCGGGAUGGAGGCCCUCGGGUUGUAAACCGCUGUCAGUUAGGGGGAAAUCCAUGAGGGUACUCUCUCAUGGUUGACCGAUUUUCAGAGGAAGGACGGGCUAAGUUCGUGCCAGCAGCCGCCGUAACAC
rnacentral:rRNA from 1 species